CUGCAGCCAGUUAAGCCAACCAGGUUCCUUUCCUCAUGGGCCUGGUGUGCAAUGGCUACAAACAGUAACCUCCUUGGUAGUGUAUGCAACUUGCUGCAUGUAUGGGUUGCCCUAAGGGACCUUGGAGACAGUU
ensembl:snoRNA SNORA70 Small nucleolar RNA SNORA70